rnacentral:rRNA from 1 species
CCAAACUGUUGCCUCGGCGGGAUCUCUGCCCCGGGUGCGUCGCAGCCCCGGACCAAGGCGCCCGCCGGAGGACCAACCAAAACUCUUUUUGUAUACCCCCUCGCGGGUUUUUUAUAAUCUGAGCCUUCUCGGCGCCUCUCGUAGGCGUUUCGAAAAUGAAUCAAAACUUUCAACAACGGAUCUCUUGGUUCUGGCAUCGAUGAAGAACGCAGCGAAAUGCGAUAAGUAAUGUGAAUUGCAGAAUUCAGUGAAUCAUCGAAUCUUUGAACGCACAUUGCGCCCGCCAGUAUUCUGGCGGGCAUGCCUGUCCGAGCGUCAUUUCAACCCUCGAACCCCUCCGGGGGGUCGGCGUUGGGGAUCGGCCCUGCCUCUUGGCGGUGGCCGUCUCCGAAAUACAGUGGCGGUCUCGCCGCAGCCUCUCCUGCGCAGUAGUUUGCACACUCGCAUCGGGAGCGCGGCGCGUCCACAGCCGUUAAACACCCAACUUCUGAAAUGUUGACCUCGGAUCAGGUAGGAAUACCCGCUGAACUUAAGCAUAUCAAAGCCCGGAGGAAA